UCCAGUUGAUCCUGCUGGCGGCUGCGGCUCUCUGGUUUGCACUUAGACAUGCAAGUCUGACGAAAGUCGGCAAACUGCUCAGUAACACGUAGCUAACCUGCCCUUAGGUUAGGGAUACCCUCGGGAAACUGAGGUUAAUACCUAAUAUGAGAUUUACCCUGGAACGAUUUAUCUCUUAAAUUCGUGCCUAAGGAUGGGGCUGCGGCGGAUUAGGUUGUUGGCGGGGUAACUGCCCACCAAGCCGAAGAUCCGUAAGGGCUCUUAGCGGAGGGGCCCUGAGAGGGAAUCUGAGACACUAUUCCCAGCCCUACGGGGUGCAGCAGUUAGGAAUCUUCUGCAAUGCGCGAAAGCGUGACAGAUUGAGCCAGAGUGCUCUUCAAAAUUGAAGAGCUUUUGCCAAAUUCAAAAAGUUUGGCGAAUAAGGACUGGGUAAGACGGGUGCCAGCCGCCGCGGUAAUACCCGCGGUCCAAGUCGCAGCCAUCAUUAUUGAGUCUAAAACAUCCGUAGCUUGCUUAGUAAGUUCCCUGUGAAAUUCUAUCUCUCAAGGAUAGAGCGGGCAGGGAGUACUGCUAUGGCUAGAGACCGGAAGACGUGAAAAGUAUGUCUAAAGUAGCGGUAAAAUGUUCUAAUCUUAGGCAGACUAACAACAGCGAAGGCAUUUCACGAGGACGGUUCUGACAGUAAGGGAUGAAGGCUAGGGGCGCAAAACGGAUUAGAUACCCGUGUAGUCCUAGCAGUAAACACUGCACACUAAACAUUAGUACCUCUUCGGGAGGUAUUAGUGCUGAAGCGAAGGCGAAGAGUGUGCUACUUGGGAAGUAUAGUCGCAAGGCCGAAACUUAAAGGAAUUGGCGGGGGGAUACUACAACGGGUGACGCGUGCGGUUCAAUUAGAUUCUACACCGUGAACCUCACUAGGAUCGACAGCAGGAUGAAGGUCAGUCUGAAGGGCUUACCUGACACGCUGAGAGGAAUUGCAUGGCCGACGUCAGCCUGUGCCGUGAGGUGACCUGUUAAAUCAGGUAACAGGCAAGACCCACAUCUCUAUUUACAAUAGAACUAUAGAGAGAUUGCCCGGGUAACCGGGAUGAAAGCGUGGGCUACGUUAGGUGAGUACAGUCCGAAGACCCUAGGCGACACGCGCGCGUCAAUGGUAGAUACAGCGAGAUGCAACUCCGGAAGGAGGAGCUAAUCUCUUAAAGUCUAUCUCAGUCCAGAUUGAGGUUUGAAACCCAGCCUCAUGACGCUGGAAUCCGUAGUAAUCGUUUGUUAGCAGCGAACGGUGAAUAUGUCAAUGUCCCUUGCACACACUGCCCGUCAAACCAACCAAGUUGUGUUAUGGUGAAACUUUUCGAAGGAGAACCUUAGCAUGACAAGGUAGGUUAAGUCGACACAAGGU
rnacentral:rRNA from 1 species